CACUCUGCCACGUGCUUCAUAAUCAGCUGAUUUUUCUUUGCCAAUUUGUUAUAUUUUUUCUAUUAUUUCCCAAUCACGUUUUAGAGCACUGUGAGUGUUAAUCCUGCACCGUCUCCCUCCCCCCGGCAGAGAUCACCACCACUACCACCACUACCACCACCACCACCACCAGCACCACCACCACUACCACCACAGCUCCCUCACAGCUGCUCCCCCCUAAGGCUUCCACCCACCGGCCCGCCCAUCAGUCUACCCAGCCGCCCUUCGUCCCCUGGUGGAGUAAUUUGGCCAUCGAGACGACGACGUCUGUGAGCCAGAACCGGUUCGUCCAAGAUAAGGAGGCGGCCGGAGGUGCGACCUCUGAGGGCCAGCAGCGCCAGACUCCCCUCAGCUUCGGUUCAUAUUUCGACCACCCAUCGUCGUCCUCGUCGAUAUUAUGGACGUCAUCAGCAGUGACGUGGGCGCGGACGUGUGUAGGACUCCUGGUCUUGCUUGUCUUCACUAUCAUCUCCUAAGACGUUCACUACGACCUAGGAUCUCCUACUUGGUUUCCGUGAAGGGGAAGAGAAAGUUCCAUGAGGAGAGAGAGAGGAUUCCGCGAGGGAAGAGAAAGAGAGAGAGAGAGUUUUGUGAGCGGGAGAGAAAGAGAGGGUUCCAGGAGAGGAGAGAAAGAGAGGGUUCCGCGAGGAGAAAGAAAAGAUACGAGAAAGUUUUCAGGUUCACCCAGCCUCCUGUGAGCAAUCAAACUAUUUAAAUAAAACAAAAUAUAAGUGUGCGACGUCUCCUCCGCGAGAAAUGCAAAACGGCCAAAAUUUAAGAAAUUAUCCGGUGAUUUACAGAUGAGAUAAUAGGCUAUGAAAAUUAAUAACUGGAGUGAAUUUUAAUUUAUUCAGUGGCGAUAUUAAAGAAAACCGCGAAGAGUGACGAGAGGCAGACAGCCUGAAAUUUUUUUUGUCAAAAAAUUUAAGAAGGGACAUGUGUACAACUCGUGGGGGCCUGCAAUGCUUUAAUUUAUAUAAAUACACAUAGAUACAAUCAGUUAGACGUUAGAAGCCAUACAAUCAGAGGCUACAAGAGACUGCAAUACGUUGGAAGGGAUAGAAUCAGAGGCGAUAGGAGGUAACUAGCCGUUAGAAAGGAUACAGAAGGCACAGGAGUCUCAACUCCAAGCUAGACAAAUAUACUAGGAAAGAGUCCAUUAAAUGACCGAAAGCCUCAUAGGACAAUAAGAGGCUCAUAGUAUGAGCAAACAUAUAUGUUCCAUGAUCGUAUAAUAAGAGAUUUUAGAAGACAUAGACUCAAAGUGUCCGGAAUGAGACAUUACCUGUGUGUCCAAAAUUAUACAGAUGCUGCCACCUCUGGCCACUUCAGGAGGUAGCACCAUAAUACCCCACAAGUAGCUGCUUCGAAAGGUUCUUGAAGGUAGCCUAAGGCUCCAGGAAGAAAGAUAUCCUGAGACUCCAAAGGCCAACUUUAGAGUCUAGCAAGGGAAACGGCGAGUUGCUUCAGGGAAAAACGACAUCAAAAUUUACAAGUUGUUGGUAAAGUAACUCACGGCGAUCUGAGUUUCUCUCUGCCUCUUCUUCUUUUUCCACUUUUCCAGUGUCUUCUACUUCGCCUAUUUUAAUGCUUCUUCUCUUUAUUUUCCUCUUGAUUCCUUUUCGUGCAUCGCGAAAGGUGAUUAAUACUUCGUUAAUCUCUUGGUGAUUUCUGUUUCUUUCUGAUUCAAUUCCUAAUGAUUUGAUUUUUAACCAAUUUAAAACUGUACACGUAAGGGGUAAACCUUAGAUACAGCACCACAUUCUUAAGCCAUUCCUGAUCUGCUAUACAGCGACCCAUACUCUAGCUAUACUCUUCUAUACUGCGGCCUUCCCUAAAGACAGAUAAUAUAUUUUUUUCUUAUGGUUGAAAGCAUAUUUGCCUUUUUAUCAAUAUAAAUUAUAUAUUAUAAUUUUUUAUUAUUGCUUUACGCAUAGGUUAAAUUGAGAUGGGUUAGAUUAGGCUACGAUGGGUUGGUUUAGUUAGGCUUCGUUUGGUGUUUUGGUUCCAUUGGCAAUUGAUUUUGUAUACAAUACUCUGGUAACUUCGGUUUCAACCCUUUUUACCCUGUCGUAGCUCAGUCGAUUAAGGCAGUGUCUGGGAUGCUCCCGGACGCAGGUUCGAAUCCUCGUCACGGCCCUUGUGGAUUUGUUCUCUGGUAACUGAGCCUCAGGCAAUGCUGCUCCAAGAGGCAGCUGUCCUGAAAGUUACACGCCUCAAUUUGUUCGUCCUUUCUAAUAAAAAUAUUUACUUUCUCUAAUAUAAAUUGAUACAUUAUGUACUACAGUUUUAUCAAUAGUCUUAGGAUUUGUUUGGUUACCUGUUUUUUAUUUUAUUGGCAGAUAUAUAUACUUUCAGUAUAUAGAUAAAGCAUUAGAGAUGUGCUGCCAUUGUAAGGAUUGAAUGAAUGAACUAUCAGGAGAAAGCGCCAAAACAUUACGAUUAUGUAGCACCUGGAAGGGAUCAGGAAAACAAUGAGAAGCAUUGUUCAAAAAAAGCUCGGAAAAUGACUAGCAACACGUCACAAUCCAGCGUUUCAUAUGAUCAGUUGUACAGGAUUCCACGAGGGAAGAGAGAGAGAGAGAGAAUUCAUAUUCAUAAUUCAUCCUGGCGUUCCGCGAGCGCUGUCAUGGGUUCGU